UAGUCUAUGAUUCUAGGGUUACUAUCUCAAACUUUAGAUCUCACAAGUGAGGGGAUGGGGUAGUCUAAACAUAGAGCUAGGAUAUUAUAAGAAGAUUACCUUAACUAAGUCAUACUUGCAUAUUACCCUUACCUAUCCUAAAAAUAAAAACUAAAAAAAAUCAUAUCAUCCUCCUCAUCAAAAUCAAAUUGUUUGCAUUCAUUCAUUUCAGGAAUCUUAAUCAUCAUCCAGGC
rnacentral:lncRNA from 1 species